rnacentral:rRNA from 1 species
AGUGAACGCUGGCGGUAGGCCUAACACAUGCAAGUCGAACGGCAGCACAGUAAGAUCUUGCUCUUACGGGUUGCGAGUGUCGUACGUGUGAGGAAUACAUCGUAAUCUACUUUUUCGUGUGUGUUAACGUAGGUAAACUUACGCUAAUACCGCAUACGACCUACGGUUUAAUUCAUUUGUUCUUCUUACCUUGCGCGUUUUAAUUAGCCGAUGUCGGAUUAGCUUGUUGGCUGGGUAAAGGCCCACCAAGGCGACGAUCCGUAGCUGGUCUGAGAGGAUGAGAAGCAACACUGGAACUGAGAAACGGACCAGACUACUACGGGAGGAAGCAGAGGGGAAUAUUGGACAAUGGGCGAAAGCAUGAUCCAGCAAUACCGCGUGGGUGAAGAAGGACUUCGGGUUGUAAAGCCAUUUUGUUGGGAAAGAAAAGAAGCAGGUUAAUACACAGAUGUUAUGACGGUAACAAAAGAAUAAGCACCGGCUAACUUCGUG